GGGGCGGGGCGGGGCGUGUGUGUCCACGGAAUACGGGGCGGGGCGAUUAUAAUGCAUGUAUUAUGUGUCUAUAUAAAUGGAGAGAGAAAAGUCGGGCAAAAUAUUAGAAACCUGUGUAACUAUGCGAGGCAGCCCGUCACGUCUGCAGAUUGUGAAGAAUUAGCGCUAAUUGGCGCUAUCAUUUUUUUACGGUGUGGUCACAACAAAUAUGCAGGGCUAGAGGCCUAACAAUGGAGGGGAAGUCAUCUCUGGGAGGCGGUUUUGCACAUUCAUCAAUGCUUUAGUUCAUUUUAAGAUUUCUAGCACUAGAAAAUUAGCAAGUUAUAUUCCACCUUAACUCUUUCUAUCUUGUUUAGCUGGUCUGCUUACCUUAUGCUUUAAAUGCACUCUUGUCAGUGGAAUAUUAUGUUGGCAGCAUAUCAGGUUUUGGCAUUUAGACAUGACCUUCUGGUCCCCAUGUCUGCCGUAACAUGAGAGGGCUUAUAAUGCUAAGGAAGGCUGGACAUGGAGGGACAUUUACUAAGCCCUGUAUGCCACUAUUGUGGU